UUAUAUAUUAUUUCAAAUUUUUUGCUACCCAGUUACCAUUAUGGCAGAUCAUCGAUCUUCAUUCGGGAAGUGCACUUCAGUCGAUUACUGCUAUAAUCCUGACAAGAAUGUUGCUCAGAAGUUGAGAAAAAUGGGUGAGCCGCCAUCUAAAGGAUUGAUAAAGCGCUACUCCCACAUUAAGAAGAAUACAAAUACUACCAUAGAAGACCUCCACAAAGUGACUGAUGAUCGUUUGAAAGUAAUUUAUUUUAACCAAAAUUUUAGGGCUGACAGCGCCCGUUGAACGAUCUGUUCUCGCUGAAAUUUUUGUUUUUCUUUAUUCAAAUUGAUAUUUUUCGGAGGAUUGGCAUUUAUAACUAGGAAUUUCUGAAUUUUUGUGUAAAACUUUAAAUUUUUACAAGACUUCAAAUCUUCCCAGUAGAUGAAUUUUAAAAUUAACCUUUAUACGAUACAAAUUAAGUAUUUGGCUUGAAGUACGAAU